UACGUAGGGUGCAAGCGUUGUCCGGAAUUAUUGGGCGUAAAGAGCUCGUAGGCGGUUUGUCGCGUCGAAUGUGAAAACCCGAGGCUCAACCUCGGGCGUGCAUCCGAAACUGCUCGGCUAGAGGUAGGUAGGGGAGAUCGGAAUUCCUGGUGUAGCGGUGAAAUGCGCAGAUAUCAGGAGGAACACCGGUGGCGAAGGCGGAUCUCUGGGCCUUACCUGACGCUCAGGCGCGAAAGCUAGGGGAGCGAACUGG
rnacentral:rRNA from 1 species